AUUGAACGCUGGCGGCAGGCCUACCACAUGCACGUCGAACGAGUGGCGGACGGGUGAGUAAUGUCUGGGAAACUGCCUGAUGGAGGGGGAUAACUCCUGGAAACGGUAGCUAAUACUGCUUACCAUCAGCUGUACCCAGAUGGGAUUAGCUAGUUGGUGGGGUAACGGCUCACCAAGGCGACGAUCCCUAGCUGGUCUGAGAGGAUGACGAGCCACAAUGGAACUGAGACACGGUCCAGACUACUACGGGAGGCAGCAGUGGGGAAUAUUGAACAAUGGGCGCAAGCCUGAUGCAGCCAUGCGGCGUGUAUGAAGAAGGACUUCGGGUUGUAAAGUACUUUCAGCGGGGAGGCGUUACCCGCAGAAGAAGCACCGGCUAACUCCGUGCCAGCAGCCGCGGUAAUUC
rnacentral:rRNA from 1 species